GAGUUUGAUCCUGGCUCAGGAUGAACGCUGGCGGCGUGCCUAAUACAUGCAAGUCGAGCGAACAGAUAAGGAGCUUGCUCCUUUGACGUUAGCGGCGGACGGGUGAGUAUCACGUGGGUAACCUACCCAUAAGACUGGAAUAACUCCGGGAAACCGGGGCUAAUGCCGGAUAAUAUUUAGAACCGCAUGGUUCUAAAGUGAAAGAUGGCCUUGCUAUCACUUAUGGAUGGACCCGCGCCGUAUUAGCUAGUUGGUAAGGUAACGGCUUACCAAGGCAACGAUACGUAGCCGACCUGAGAGGGUGAUCGGCCACACUGGAACUGAGACACGGUCCAGACUCCUACGGGAGGCAGCAGUAGGGAAUCUUCCGCAAUGGGCGAAAGCCUGACGGAGCAACGCCGCGUGAGUGAUGAAGGUCUUCGGAUCGUAAAGCUCUGUUAUUAGGGAAGAACAAAUGCGUAAGUAACUGUGCGCGUCUUGACGGUACCUAAUCAGAAAGCCCGGC
rnacentral:rRNA from 1 species